GUGGGGCGGCUGACGCUCGGGGAGACACAGACGUGGAGGACGCCACGGCCGCCUCGCCCCCGGGGCUCCUGGAGUGAGGCUGGCUGAGGAGCCGAGCAGAUGGUGCAGCUGAGCGUUUCCUGCCUGGGCGGGAGGAGGUGGGGUUGCCGCCGGCAGGGCCUGUGACUGUGAGUGCGGCUCACUGAGCAGCUGAUGUGGGGGGUUGGGGGGGCGCGGAUUACACCAUGUGUGACGGCAGAGCGGGGACAACGUGUUGAGAGACGUGGCCUGGGAUGUAAGGAAGGGUCGUGAGAAAAUACGCAGGAAGAGAUACCCCGUGGGCAUGUUUCCCUUGGAAAGUGGAUGGAACCCUCUGAGCCGUGAUUCCGCCUGAAUGAAGCAGUGGCGGGCACUGGCCUGGCAAGCGGCUUCCGCUGCCUUGGAUUUGCACCUCUAAGGGGUCACAGGGGCCACCCCUGAAGCAAGACAAAGUGUGAUCAUCAACAGGCCCUCGGGGGGCCAGAAGAAGGAACGGCUCCAGUGAUGAAGGCUGAACGCCACCUGUCUCCCCAUCGUUCUCCCGGCACAAGAGAGGGCUGCUCGGCAGGGCUGGGUUUAAAAACCUUCCAUGCAACCCUCAAAGGCAUCCACAGUGACUUCUGCUGCUGUGGUACGUUCUGCCCUCCCCUCCUCCCCACCCCAUCCUAUUCUCGGCUACAAGUUAUUUAUAUGUAUAGUGUCAUCUGAACGUGCAUGGGCCGAUCCCAGGACACGACACACAAAGAGGCUGCGGUGAACCCAAGCCGCCAGGCUGGCCUGUGGCUCAGUGUCUGUUCCAGAAGUCCCCGCCCCAGGCAGCUCUCCUGAACACGGCCACAGGAGGAUCAGGACCACAGCCCAAACCACUGUGACAGAAAACACCCUACAGGGCUUGAGAACUAAAAACUAAGGAGGGAUCUGGGCAGCCGAGCUGCCUCCUAAAGAAGCCACGUCGUAGAGAAAACUGCUUGCUCUAUCUGUGUGAGGCGGAGGCAGCCGGGGUGUUCUGCCAGCAGACACGGGUCUGUCCAUCACCGGCCACUGCGCUGCCUCUGUCCUUCACUCCCAUUUAAGGGAAAACGAUAUCUCUUCAUCUUUCUGCCCUGGACGUUGGAAAUCAGCGGUGAGAACAGUGCUCUUCCUAUAAGAUGCUCAGGUUCUAGAAUUCUCCCGUCUUUCCUUCUAUUCCACAUGGAGUUUAUCCAAAGGACAAAGGCCAGUCAUGGCACUGACAUUCGUGAUGCCCGCUCACCGGGGAGUGGGAAACAGAAGCCUGUCCUCAGAGGACUGUGACUGGGAGCCCGCAGCUGCUUGUGGGUGGGGCCAGCCCGCAGCUCCUCCUGGAGGCCCCAGGCUUCUUGCCCCUGCAUUUCUGUGACAUGUGGAGGGAGGAUCGUUUUGACACCUGCCUGGGAAGUUUCAAAGGAGAUGGCCUCUGGGCAGGGGUUUUAAACUGAAGGGCACCACACAGAUCCAGAUGUGAACUGUGGCUGUUGUUUGCAAUUGAAGCAGAGAUGCAGAGGAUGGAAGAGGAGUGCCAGCCACGCUGCUCUAUGGCCUUGGCCCAGCUAAGACCCCCCAGUCAAUGGGGUUACGGGACCCCCACUACACAGGGACCUGGGAACCACCUUUGCCGUGGUCGACUGCUGGGCCUGCCAUGCACCGCCCACACCUGGCUGUGCCUGGAGACCGAGAGCAGGGGGUGACGGUGGGCCUGGCGUGCGGAGUCCUGCAGCGGGAAGAGUGGGAGGGGAGGUGGGAGAGCACAGUCAUCCAGGGGUCCCCACGUGGGCUUGUACAGGCCUGAGCGAGCCCCCACUUUAUGGGUGAGAAAACCAAGGCACGGAGAGGUGAAUGAGUGUGGUAUCAAUGCCGCUAAGACAGAAGUGAGGCGGGAAAGCCUGUCCUCGCGAGGGGUGGCCCUGUCUCCGGCUCCCAGGUGCCUCCCGCUCAUCUGCCCGAGGCUCCUGGGGAUGUGGCUCUUGGGUUUCAGGAGGGCCCUGCUCCUCCUGUGGGAACCACAGACACGUGUGUGCCCACGUGCCCUGAGCUCACACACACACCAUGGUGCAUGGGCAGGGAAGCAGCGCUCCUAGCUACCCGGUGAGCAUCUUUGCUUUCCUUCUGCUCUAAGUAGGCACCCAAGGAAUACACGCAUUCACUCAGAGCCUGAUUCACGUGCCUGGGAUAACACCGCGGGGAAAGGUUCUCACACAGUGGCUGCCAUGAGGAUCCAUGACAAGAGCCCAGGGAGGUCUCUGCUCAGCAUGGGGUUGAGGAAGAGUCUCUCCCUUUUGCAAAUGCCAGCCACAGAGGUUUGUUUUUCUCCCUGAGAGAAGGAAGAGUAAAGGCUGAGACUGAGACAGAAGGACAGAAGGAGAAGACUUAGAAGCCAGCGAGCCCGGAGCCAUGAGACGCGCGCCGAGGACACGGGGCCUUGGGGAAACCGGGCACGGGCAGGGGUUGGUCUUGGCUUCGCCGCAACAUUGCCGCUAGCUCGGGUGCCGUCUCCACUCGCAGGCUGGCCUGUCCUCUGCAGCCACGAGCUCAGGCACCGUCUCCAUUCAUAGGCCGGCCUGUUCUCUGCAGUCUGCGGUCCCUGUGGUGCCAACAUCCAGAUGCUGAGAUAAUUCUGCCAGGGUGUUGGCUGAUCGGUGAUUGGUGGUUGGCUGUUCUGUGAGUUCUGCAUUGAUCUUGCUGGCUGAGCAGGCGAUGCAGAUGGGCAGGCACUGUUAGGGUCUCUGCUCCCAUCCCUCUCCCCAGGACUCAUCACCCACCGCAACCGUAAGCUGCUAGGGGCUCACAGCCUUGAGUCUUUGGGAGGGGACCCGCCUGGCAUGCAGCUCAGGCUCCCAGCCCCAGGACCCGGCCGCCGCUCCCCUCCCGCCUGCAUCUUGGCUUAGCCGUCUUCCCUGGCUGCCAGCCUCUUCCCCUGGUCUUAGUUGGCUUGGGCCACUAAACUGAAAUAGCACACCCCGAGGCCUUCAACAGCAGACCUGAUUUCUCACCAUCUGGAGGCUGGAGGUCCAGGAUCCAGGCCCCCAAGGCUGCUCUCCCCCACUCCCCCACCCGGCCCCCAAGACGCACAGACUCCAUCCUCUUGCUGCCCUGUCUCAGGGCUGUCCCUCUGGGCAAGCAGGCCCCUGGCAUCGCCGUGUGUCCUCUCCUCCUGUUCUUAUAAGGACACCAGUCAUACUGGAUCCGGGCCCACCCUAGUGACCUCAUUUACCUUAAUCACCUCUUGAAAGACCUUGUCUCAACAACAGCCACAUUCGGGGCACUGAGGGUUAGGGCUUUAACAUGGGAAUUUGAGGGAUGCAAUUCACCCCAUAAAACCCAGACCGUUCCCCCCAAUAAAUCACUUUCACAAGAGCUCUUCUCUCAGGCUUUGCUUCUGGGGGAUCCCCCUUGAGAUGGAUCCAUCUAGCUUCCUGCUUCUCAAAGAACGGAGGGGAGACCCCUGGUGUGAAGGGAACGGGUGGCCUCGGGGACCUGCGGAUAAGCUGCUGGCACUGCCAGGGGACAGGCUGAGCCAAAAGCCAGGAGGAGGGCGGCAAGGCUCGGGGCUGGACCUCAUUCUUCUGAGUAUUAUAAAAUCUGGCUUUGCUCAGAAA